rnacentral:tRNA from 1 species
UUAAUUGAAACCAAAUUAGAGGUAUUUCACUGUUAAUGAAAAAAUUGAAUAUUAUUCCAAUUAAA